rnacentral:rRNA from 1 species
GACGAACGCUGGCGGCGUGCCUAAUACAUGCAAGUCGAGCGGAAGUUGAAGAGCUUGCUCUUCAACUUUAGCGGCGGACGGGUGAGUAACACGUGGGCAACCUGCCCUGCAGAUCGGGAUAACUCCGGGAAGCCGGUGCUAAUACCGAAUAGUUUUCGCCACCUCCUGGUGGCGUACGGAAAGACGGUUUCGGCUGUCACUGCCGGAUGGGCCCGCGGCGCAUUAGCUAGUUGGUGGGGUAACGGCCCACCAAGGCAACGAUGCGUAGCCGACCUGAGAGGGUGAUCGGCCACACUGGGACUGAGACACGGCCCAGACUCCUACGGGAGGCAGCAGUAGGGAAUCUUCCGCAAUGGACGAAAGUCUGACGGAGCAACGCCGCGUGAGUGACGAAGGUUUUCGGAUCGUAAAACUCUGUUGUGAGGGAAGAACAAGUACCACUUAACUACUGGUACCUUGACGGUACCUCACCAGAAAGCCACGGCUAACUACGUGCCAGCCGCCGCGGUAAAAC